rnacentral:rRNA from 1 species
GAUAAACGCUGGCGGCGUGCAUGAGACAUGCAAGUCGAACGAACUUCUCGGGCUUGCUCGAGAAGUUAGUGGCGGACGGCUGAGUAACGCGUAGGUGACCUGCCCCGAAGUGGGGAAUAACUGCCCGAAAGGGUGGCUAAUACCGCAUGUGAUCGCUUAUUCAUUUGAGCGAUCAAAGCAGAAAUGCGCUUCGGGAGGGGCCUGCGUCCGAUUAGCUCGUUGGUGGGGUAAUGGCUCACCAAGGCGACGAUCGGUAGGUGGUCUGAGAGGACGAUCACCCAGACUGGGACUGAGACACGGCCCAGACUCCUACGGGAGGCAGCAGUCGGGAAUUUUGCUCAAUGGACGAAAGUCUGAAGCAGCAACGCCGCGUGAGGGAUGAAGGCCUUCGGGUUGUAAACCUCUUUUAUCAGGGACAAUGAUGACGGUACCUGAUGAAUAAGCCACGGCUAACUACGUGCCAGCCGCCGCAGUAACAC